UACGAAGGGGGCUGGCGUUGCUCGGAUUGACUGGGCGUAAAGGGCGCGUAGGCGGUUCGUACAGUCAGACGUGAAAUUCCUGGGCUCAACCUGGGGGCUGCGUUUGAUACGUGCGGGCUUGAGUUCGGAAGAGGGUCGUGGAAUUCCCAGUGUAGAGGUGAAAUUCGUAGAUAUUGGGAAGAACACCGGUGGCGAAGGCGGCGACCUGGUCCGAUACUGACGCUGAGGCGCGAAAGCGUGGGGAGCAAACAGG
rnacentral:rRNA from 1 species